GUGCUCGCUUCAGCAGCACAUAUACUAAAAUUGAAACAAUACAGAGAAGAUUAGCAUGGCCCCUGUGCAAGGAUGACAUGCAAAUUCAUGAAGCAUUUCAUAUUUUU
rnacentral:snRNA from 1 species